CGGUGUCUUCAGACAGGAAGCACAUUGAUCCCCAAAGCCUCCUCUCAUUCAGUGGUAGCAACUGCACUGAUUCACCAUAUCAUUCAUUUCUUAGCCUGUGAUUAAGCCUCUCACUCCCACCCAGCAGGUGUGUCGUGGAUGCUACCCCCGCCCCCCCUCCUGCUGGCUUUGACCCGGGGGCUACGAGGGCUGAAUUGCUCCCCAGGUAGUCACACAUCUGAGGGUUUGUGCCCCUGCCGGUUGAAGCACGGUCCCUCAGCUGCCAUCAGGUCCUCAUCCAACCUUGUACCAGUGUACAAGUGUGAAGCCAUAGAGACGAGCUGGACAUUCAGGCUCUAUCGACUUUCUUUCCCUGUUGCAUGGGUGGACAUUUUCCUGCUCUCGGAGAGCGCCAACUAAGAAUAAAGAAGACUUUUGGAGCUGCUAGAUCACAGGGAGAAGACGUCCUUGGGAAACUCUGCUGGACAGACCUGGCCCGAGGGCGCCCUCAGUGCGAUAAUUAAGGGCGAAUCCACUUUGAGGGACAAGCUGGUGCCGUACCAGGCCGUCUCCACCUCAAGGCUGUGCUGCCACUGCCAAGAUGGCGACCACUGGACCCGGCGCUUUCAGCGCCAUAAUGACUGGUGAUGUCGCUGAGACCAGGCAUGCAUACCGCUUUUCAUAUAUUCACUAGACCAUAUUGAUGCCGGUUCAGAAUGGACUUCAGGUCUUAUUCAUCGACAGUAAAUGGUAUCUUUUUUUAGGAGGUAACUAACUAAAUACAAAUGAUAUUUGAGCGGGGCUUGGUACCGUUUAUACUUCUAUCAAUACUGACUCCAAGUCUGCUCACUCAUUUCUGUUCGUAGUUGUGUUUCGGAUUCUUAAAGAAUAAGAAAAAGUAACUAAAACAUGUUAGAUGUGAUAUAUUAGCAGUAGAAGCAGAAAACCGAAAUGUCCUAAGAUGUUGGAUGACCCUAAGCCUCCACAGCAGCUUCCUCUAAUCAUUUCUCAAAGUCUCUGAACUCUGCUGGAG
ensembl:lncRNA